CGCCCCGGCCCCGCCCCCUCCCUGCCCCCAGGGCCGCUGUGCGCCGGGCGGGGCCAGCGACGGGGUGGGAUCGGGGGCCUGGGGACAACGCCUCAAGGCCGGGGCGGCGACGAACUCCGAGCGGGACACUGAACGGCUCGUACGCGCAAGAUUAGCACGGACCUAACCAGGUACACGCACCUGCCGGGACGUACUGACCGAGGUGCGGACGGCACUUUACCAGGACAGGUAAAGACGCGAACGCUCGGACCUAAGAACUUGACAGGUACACCCUGCCUGAUGAAGCUACGCCAGGUGCGCUAUCGAGUGAGUAAGGUACACAGAGAUUGGUCUUUAUAACCUUGGAGGCAGAACCAUAGUUAUAAAGACAGGUACAUUCAGACAGGCACUUUUCAGGUGGAGUCAGGCCCUCAAGACACACUGCUCGAAGCCGUCACACAGAGGUGGGCCAACCCCAGGGCCAGGUACACCUUUCCUGAAAUCUCUACCUUACCAGGACCGAAAGGCAGAUUCAACCAGCAGAUGCACAAUGGCCGAGGCAGAAAACCAGGCAAAAGAAGGCCAUUUACCCCAAUCACCACGUGAGUGUCCACACAAGAAUACUGUCACCACACCGCAGAACUCACUGAUUGCCCCCACUGGAGGAGCUCCCCUGCUCCGUGAAGAUGCUUUUAGUUUCCCAGGUCAGACCUGAUCCCUCGCUUGAGCAGUUUACAGUAUCUACUCAGAGGCUUACAGACAGAGGUCGUUUUGCUGAUGUUACCCUUGAAAAAUUCUGCAGGGCUAAACUGCCCCAGCUGGAAAGACUUGAACCAGGAUAAAGAGCUCCUAUUCUAGCGCUCCUAUUAUUUGCCAUUUUGUGAACCACCGAUUUCAGAAGACAUUUAAUUAUUUUAAAAACAAACUUUGUGCUUGGUUUCUAAAUGAAGAGAUGAGACAGAAGAUAUCACCUCCUCAAACAAGCCAUUUCAGCUAUGAAUAGCUGUUAUUUCCAAAAGCCUCCUCUCUUUAGUGAAGCCACACUCAAUUUAUUGAAUCCAUCAAGCGCUGACAUUCCACCUUGUCGUUGCCGUCCUGGCCUCUGAAAGAGAAUGGGCCGGCUAUUAAACCAGUUUUCUAGCAAAUUCAGAGCAGCAGGUUCUUGGCUGGGGCGAAAACAUUCCACUUAUCAAGAGAUAUUAUUCCUACAAAGGAUGAGAACCUUCUUCUUCAUAAAGAGAAUUUGGAGGGAGCUUUUGUUCUGCAGAGACAACAUCUGGAUUUGAAUACAUCCCUGCUCAAAAGGAGAUUUCUCAUAAUGGACCCAACUGAAAGCACUCAGAGUACAAGGACCGGUGAGCUUUCAAAAGCAGGCACUUCAGGAGACUCGCCAGGGGCGCUCGUAUCCCCAGCAGCGCGAGUUUUGGAGGUCAGUGGAGAGCUCUCGCGCCAUGCGUGUAACUUUCAUACUCAAAGACUUAUCUUCAUCCUCCACCCCCAUCCCGCUGCAGAAACUUGGGGCUUGAAUUCAUUUAAAAACAUUUGUGGUUUCAGAAGGCUCCUUUUUAUUAUAAAGCUGCCAAGGAGAUCUUAGAAUGAAAGGCAUUUUUAGAGAUGAGAAAGAAGGAAGCCGGGCCAAGGCCAGCCCGGCUCUCAGCCGUGGGUCUGUAAAGGUGACACGUGGGACGUGGCCACCUGCAGACCCUGCAGGCGGCUGGGCGGAGGCGCCUGGGCAGAGACGCCCAGUGGGACCUGGGUUUGAAUCCCUGCUCUGCCAGUCAUGUCCGCAGCUGAUCUUGGGGAAGUUGCGUAACCUCUGGGCCCUGCGAUGCCCUUUCCUGGAGCUGGAACGAAGCCCCUUGGAGCCCUGACAUCAGAGGUGACGCUAGUCUUCGCAGGCAAUGACUUGGCGGAAUGUGAUGCCACUCCCUAACCCACGUCCGGGCUGGAGGGGGUGUGUCACCUCCCACCAGGUGGUCCGGCUGCUUUGGUGGGUCUCCUAACUUCCCUGCACCCUACAGCCCUCAGUGCUGGCCAGACCUUCACUCACUCCUGACAACCUUGUUUUCAGCUAGCACGUCGACAGACUGGCCUGUGGCGCCCCCUGCUGGUGACUGCUGGAAGAAGGGUGACUUCCUGACCCAAAGGAAGUCCUUCUUGGGGUCUAACCUCUACCUCUGGCUUGAUAAGGCAACUGGGGUGGCUUGCUUUCUCCUCCACCCUAGAAAAUAAAGUCAUAUAGAUUCCAA